UGAAUUGAAAAGAGAGGAAAGGUCCUUUCUGCUCUGGUCAUCUAGUAGAUAUGAAUUUCUGGCAGUGAUUGAUCUCAAAGUAUUUAAAUGAUAUGAGGUUGCCUAACCAGAAUAGUCCCAAAUGACAAGCCUCUAUAAGGUAUUGAGGGAAUGAAUCUCUUUUAGUAGUAAUGUCAAUUAAGGGCAAGGAUGAAUUCAGAGCUCCACAAGUAUUGUAAGGCUUCCUAUCCAGCCUGGUAAAUGUUGUCAACUGAGAGCAAAGGAGAGAGAAUGAUGCAAGUGAAUGGAUUCCUUUCCUUUUCACCAGCCCUCAAAAGCUUAUUCCCAAGCCAUGGGCAAUAUUCAGCCCAUCAACAUCAUCUUUUUCUGCAUUGGGAUACGAGAAAUCUUUGUGCCCAUGAAUAAUCAGAAGCUUCUUAAACAAGGUAAAAUCUGCAAGAAAAUAGUGAUUAAAUCAACCCUAUCAUUUUCCCAAACUCUUAGAAUGUGAAACUUAAAGUAUUAUGAUUAGUUUGGUCCUCAAUUGCCAGUUAAUGGCUUGUCUAAUUUUACACGGAUUUGAAGAUGCAAAAUUUUCAAACUUAUUGAUCUAAGCAUUUUAUCAAACAUAUUGGCAGUAACUUUAUUAAAAAAUUGAAUCUGUUAAAAAAAGGACAAGAGAUUGGAUUGCAAACCUAAAUUUUGUAGAUGGCAUGCUUGAAUCAAUGAACAGAAAUCCUCUAUGAAUCAGGCACCAUUGU
rnacentral:lncRNA from 1 species